UACGAAGGGGGCUAGCGUUGCUCGGAAUCACUGGGCGUAAAGCGCACGUAGGCGGAUAUUUAAGUCGGUGGUGAAAUCCUGGAGCUCAACUCCAGAACUGCCUUCGAUACUGAAUGAUCUUGAGUCGGGAGAGGUGAGUGGAACUGCGAGUGUAGAGGUGAAAUUCGUAGAUAUUCGCAAGAACACCAGUGGCGAAGGCGGCUUACUGGCCCGGU
rnacentral:rRNA from 1 species